GUUUGAUCCUGGCUCAGGACGAACGCUGGCGGCGCUAUCACAUGCAAGUCGAGCGGACAGAUGGGGAGCUUGCUCCCUGAUGUUAGCGGCGGACGGGUGAGUAACACGUGGGUAACCUGCCUGUAAGACUGGGAUAACUCCGGGAAACCGGGGCUAAUACCGGAUGGUUGUUUGAACCGCAUGGUUCAAACAUAAAAAGGUGGCUUCGGCUACCACUUACAGAUGGACCCGCGGCGCAUUAGCCAGUUGGUGAGGUAACGGCUCACCAAGGACGAUGCGUAGCCGACCUGAGAGGGUGGUCGGCCACACAGGUUNUGGAGACNNCCCAUACGGGAGGCAGCAGGGAAUCUUCCGCAAUGGACGAAAGUCUGAGAACAACGCCGCGGAGUGAUGAAGGUUUUCGGAUCGUAAAGCUCUGUGUUAGGGAAGAACAAGUACCGUUCGAANAGGGCGGUACCUGACGGUACCNAACAGAAAGCCACGCUAACUACGUGCCAGCAGCCGCGGUACGUAAGGUGGCAAGCGUUGUCCGGAAUUAUUGGGCGUAAAGGCUCGCAGGCGUUUCUUAGAUCUGAUGUGAAAGCCCCGGCUCAACCGGGGAGGUCAUUGAAACUGGGGAACUUGAGUGCNNAGAGGAGAGUGGAAUUCCACGUGUNNGCGGUGAAAUGCGUAGAGAUGUGGAGGAACACCAGUGGCGAAGACUCUGGUCUGUAACUGACGCUGAGGAGCGAAAGCGUGGGAGAACAGGAUUGAUACCCUGGUAUCCACGCCGUAAACGAUGAGUGCUAAGUUGGGGGUUUCCGCCCUUAGUGCUGCAGNUAACGCAUUACACGUUCCGCCUGGGGAGUACGGUCGCAAGACUGAAACUCAAAGGAAUUGACGGGGCCCGCACAAGCGGUGGAGCAUGGUUUAAACAACGCGAAGAACCUUACCAGGUCUUGACAUCCUCUGACAAUCCUAGAGAUAGGACGUCCCUUCGGGGCAGAGGACAGGUGGUGCAUGGUUGUCGUCAGCUCGUGUCGUGAGAUGUUGGUUAAGUCCCGCAACGAGCGCAACCCUUGAUCUUAGUUGCCAGCAUUCAGUUGGGCACUCUAAGGUGACUGCCGGUGACAAACCGGAGGAAGGUGGGGAUGACGUCAAUCAUGCCCUUAUGACCUGNGGCCCACGUGCUACAAUGGACAGAACAAAGGGCAGCGAAACCGCGAGGUUGCCAAUCCCACAAUUUUNNAGUUCGGAUCGCACUGCAACUCGACUGCGUGAAGCUGGAAUCGCAGUAAUCCGCGGAUCAGCAUGCCGCGGUGAAUACGUUCCCGGGCCCUGUACACCGCCCGUCACACCACGAGAGUUUGUANCCGAAGUCGGUGAGGUAACCUUUAGAGCCAGCCGNCGAAGGUGGGGAUGAUUGGUGANUCGAAACAAGGUAGCCGUAUCGGAAGGUGCGGCUG
rnacentral:rRNA from 1 species